GUUAGGAAUAUUGGACAAUGGGCGCAAGCCUGAUCCAGCCAUGCCGCGUGAGUGAUGAAGGCCUUCGGGUUGUAAAGCUCUUUAGCCGAUGAUUAUAAUGACUGUAGUCGGAAAAUAAGCCCCGGCUAACUUCGUGCCAGCAGCCGCGGUAAUACGAAGGGGGCGAGCGUUAUUCGGAAUCACUGGGCGUAAAGCGUGCGUAGGCGGUUUUGUAAGUUAGGAGUGAAAGCCCAGGGCUCAACCUUGGAAUUGCUCUUAAAACUGCAAGGCUCGAAUCUCGGAGAGGAUAGCGGAAUUUCCAGUGUAGCAGUGAAAUGCGUAGAUAUUGGAAGGAACACAAGUGGCGUAAGCGGCUAUCUGGACGAGUAUUGACGCUGAGGCACGAAAGCGUGGGGAUCAAACAGGAUUAGAUACCCGAGUAGUCC
rnacentral:rRNA from 1 species